rnacentral:rRNA from 1 species
AUGGCCCUAUUCGAGGAAUUCUUUGUGGGCUCCAUCGACCUCACCCGGCUUAACAUUGGAAUAAUCACCCUCAUUCCCAAAGUACCGAGUGCUUCGGAUAUCCGCCAAUUUCGCCCAAUCACGGUGAUCAAUGUCAUCUUCCACAUCCUCGCCAAGGGGUACGCCAUUACGGUGGCCCCGAUUGCAGACCGCAUCACCCACCCUGACUAGUCGGCAUUUAUUCAGGGUCGCUACAUCCUUGACGGGGUCCUCGUUUUCCACGAAGCCCUCCACGAGGUGCACUCCAAACACCUCAAGGCGGUCUUCCUAAAACUGGACUUCCACAAGGCGUAUGACACGGUUAGUUGGGCCUUCCUUCGGGAAGUAUUGCUUCGGAAAGGCUUCGACGACCGGUGGGUGACCCGUGUGAUGCAGAUGGUCUACUCGGGUAGGACCGCGGUCAACAUCAACGAAGAAAUUGGCCCCUACUUCCCGACCUUCUGUGGGGUGAGGCAGGGUGACCCCUUCUCCCCGUUCCUCUUCAACAUGGUUGUCGACGCCCUUGCCGCCAUCUUGGAUAAGGCCAAGGCGGCGGGACAUAUCCGGGGCAUAGUUUCGCAUCUGGUGGGAGGGCAUGCGAUCUCCCUCCUCCAGUACAUGGAUGACACCAUUAUCAUGGUGGAAGGCUCAGAUAACGACAUCACUAACCUGAAGUUCCUCUUGCUCUGCUUCCAGCAGAUGUCGGGUCUCAGGAUUAACUUCGAUAAAAGUGCAGUGAUGGUGUUAGGCUACUCCCCGGACGAGUGCCAGAGCAUCGUGGAUCGCCUCAACUGUCAGCUCGGAUGCUUCCCCAUGACCUAUCUGGGGGUCCCCAUUAGCGAUCCAGGCUCACGGUGGCCGAGCUUCACCCCACGGUGA